AUUGAACGCUGGCGGCAGGCCUAACACAUGCAAGUCGAACGCGUGGCGGACGGGUGAGUAGUGUCUGGGAAACUGCCUGAUGGAGGGGGAUAACUACUGAAAACGGUAGCUAAUACCGCAUCCCAGCAGAUGUGCACAGAUAGGAUUAGCUUGUUGGUAGGGGAACGGAUAACCAAGGCGACGAGCCCUAGCUGGUAUGAGAGGAUGACCAGAGACACUGGAACUGAGCCACGGUCCAGACUCGUACGGGAGGCAGCAGUGGGGAAUAUUGCACAAGGGGCGCAAGCCUGAUGCAGACAUGCCGCGUGUAUGAAGAAGUCCUUCGGGUUGUAAAGUACUUUCAGCGGGGAGGCGUUACCCGCAGAAUAAGCACGGGCUAACUCCGUGCCAGCAGCCGCGGUAAUUC
rnacentral:rRNA from 1 species